CGUCUUGUCAUUUGUAAUCUGUGACUAAGACAAGAUUGUACAAAACGGACAAGCUCCUAUUUAUGAUAAGACUCACUACUCGCUGAGACCAUACACCACGAGGCAUGAUGCCAGCCAUCAAACAUGUAAAGUAGGCAGUAUUCGCUGCCACUCUUGUUUGUGUUAGACGUGGAAUUGAUGACAGCUCAUCAGCACUCCAAACUCGCGUGAAUGGAGAGCUAUCGCCUAGGAUGUUGCUGCCCAAGAGCUGGUCUUCGAGCUCAUCGGGUUCUCCUGCCAAGUACAUAAACAGUGUUGGCUUAUUACCUCGAUCCAUGUUGUCACUGCCCAAUGGCUGCUCAUCGGGUUCUCCUGCCAAGUACAUAAGUAAUUGUAUUACAGUUGAAUAAGUACUACAUAAACGUUUACUAUUGCUUAAACAUAACUGAAAGUUUGUUCUUAUAUACUUCUCUUCUUCGGUCUCGCUCUUAUACUCUUCUAGAAACUUGAGCCUCCAAGGGCCUGUGAUAUAACGUAUGACUUGGACAGUGAAAUUUACUUGAAAAUACGUUAGUUG